AUACGGAGGGUGCAAGCGUUGUUCGGAAUCAUUGGGCGUAAAGCGGGUGUAGGCGGCUUGGCAAGUCGGUUGUGAAAUCCCUGGGCCCAACCCAGGAACUGCAAUCGAAACUGCCUCGCUAGAGUCUCGGAGAGGGUGGCGGAAUUCCCGGUGUAGAGGUGAAAUUCGUAGAUAUCGGGAGGAACACCAGUGGCGAAGGCGGCCCUCUGGACGAUGACUGACGCUGAGACGCGAAAGCGUGGGGAGCAAACAGGAUUAGAAACCCGAGUAGUCC
rnacentral:rRNA from 1 species